rnacentral:rRNA from 1 species
UGGGAAAUAUUGCACAAUGGGCGCAAGCCUGAUGCAGCCAUGCCGCGUGUGUGAAGAAGGCCUUCGGGUUGUAAAGCACUUUCAGCGAGGAGGAAGGCAGUCGUGUUAAUAGCACGAUUGAUUGACGUUACUCGCAGAAGAAGCACCGGCUAACUCCGUGCCAGCAGCCGCGGUAAUACGGAGGGUGCAAGCGUUAAUCGGAAUUACUGGGCGUAAAGCGCACGCAGGCGGUUUGUUAAGUCAGAUGUGAAAUCCCCGCGCUUAACGUGGGAACUGCAUUUGAAACUGGCAAGCUAGAGUCUUGUAGAGGGGGGUAGAAUUCCAGGUGUAGCGGUGAAAUGCGUAGAGAUCUGGAGGAAUACCGGUGGCGAAGGCGGCCCCCUGGACAAAGACUGACGCUCAGGUGCGAAAGCGUGGGGAGCAAACA